GACGAACGCUGGCGGCGUGCCUAAUACAUGCAAGUAGAACGCUGAAGGAGGAGCUUGCUUCUCUGGAUGAGUUGCGAACGGGUGAGUAACGCGUAGGUAACCUGCCUGGUAGCGGGGGAUAACUAUUGGAAACGAUAGCUAAUACCGCAUAAUAUUGACUAUUGCAUGAUAGUCAGUUGAAAGGUGCAACUGCACCACUACCAGAUGGACCUGCGUUGUAUUAGCUAGUUGGUGGGGUAACGGCUCACCAAGGCGACGAUACAUAGCCGACCUGAGAGGGUGAUCGGCCACACUGGGACUGAGACACGGCCCAGACUCCUACGGGAGGCAGCAGUAGGGAAUCUUCGGCAAUGGACGGAAGUCUGACCGAGCAACGCCGCGUGAGUGAAGAAGGUUUUCGGACCGUAAAGCUCUGUUGUAAGAGAAGAACGAGUGUGAGAGUGGAAAGCUCACACUGUGACGGUAGCUUACCAGAAAGGGACGGCUAACUACGUG
rnacentral:rRNA from 1 species